UCUACGAGUCGGGUUGUUUGGG
rnacentral:snRNA from 1 species